CGUUUGACUUAUAAAAAUGGUGGAAACAUAGAUUAAGUUAUUAAGGGCGCACGGUGGAUGCCUUGGCACUAGAAGCCGAUGAAGGACGUUACUAACGACGAUAUGCUUUGGGGAGCUGUAAGUAAGCUUUGAUCCAGAGAUUUCCGAAUGGGGAAACCCAGCAUGAGUUAUGUCAUGUUAUCGAUAUGUGAAUACAUAGCAUAUCAGAAGGCACACCCGGAGAACUGAAACAUCUUAGUACCCGGAGGAAGAGAAAGAAAAUUCGAUUCCCUUAGUAGCGGCGAGCGAAAUGGGAAGAGCCCAAACCAACAAGCUUGCUUGUUGGGGUUGUAGGACACUCUAUACGGAGUUACAAAGGACGACAUUAGACGAAUCAUCUGGAAAGAUGAAUCAAAGAAGGUAAUAAUCCUGUAGUCGAAAAUGUUGUCUCUCUUGAGUGGAUCCUGAGUACGACGGAGCACGUGAAAUUCCGUCGGAAUCUGGGAGGACCAUCUCCUAAGGCUAAAUACUCUCUAGUGACCGAUAGUGAACCAGUACCGUGAGGGAAAGGUGAAAAGCACCCCGGAAGGGGAGUGAAAUAGAACCUGAAACCGUGUGCUUACAAGUAGUCAGAGCCCGUUAAUGGGUGAUGGCGUGCCUUUUGUAGAAUGAACCGGCGAGUUACGAUUUGAUGCAAGGUUAAGCAGUAAAUGUGGAGCCGUAGCGAAAGCGAGUCUGAAUAGGGCGUUUAGUAUUUGGUCGUAGACCCGAAACCAGGUGAUCUACCCUUGGUCAGGUUGAAGUUCAGGUAACACUGAAUGGAGGACCGAACCGACUUACGUUGAAAAGUGAGCGGAUGAACUGAGGGUAGCGGAGAAAUUCCAAUCGAACCUGGAGAUAGCUGGUUCUCUCCGAAAUAGCUUUAGGGCUAGCCUCAAGUGAUGAUUAUUGGAGGUAGAGCACUGUUUGGACGAGGGGCCCCUCUCGGGUUACCGAAUUCAGACAAACUCCGAAUGCCAAUUAAUUUAACUUGGGAGUCAGAACAUGGGUGAUAAGGUCCGUGUUCGAAAGGGAAACAGCCCAGACCACCAGCUAAGGUCCCAAAAUAUAUGUUAAGUGGAAAAGGAUGUGGCGUUGCCCAGACAACUAGGAUGUUGGCUUAGAAGCAGCCAUCAUUUAAAGAGUGCGUAAUAGCUCACUAGUCGAGUGACACUGCGCCGAAAAUGUACCGGGGCUAAACAUAUUACCGAAGCUGUGGAUUGUCCUUUGGACAAUGGUAGGAGAGCGUUCUAAGGGCGUUGAAGCAUGAUCGUAAGGACAUGUGGAGCGCUUAGAAGUGAGAAUGCCGGUGUGAGUAGCGAAAGACGGGUGAGAAUCCCGUCCACCGAUUGACUAAGGUUUCCAGAGGAAGGCUCGUCCGCUCUGGGUUAGUCGGGUCCUAAGCUGAGGCCGACAGGCGUAGGCGAUGGAUAACAGGUUGAUAUUCCUGUACCACCUAUAAUCGUUUUAAUCGAUGGGGGGGACGCAGUAGGAUAGGCGAAGCGUGCGAUUGGAUUGCACGUCUAAGCAGUAAGGCUGAGUAUUAGGCAAAUCCGGUACUCAUUAAGGCUGAGCUGUGAUGGGGAGAAGACAUUGUGUCUUCGAGUCGUUGAUUUCACACUGCCGAGAAAAGCCUCUAGAUAGAAAAUAGGUGCCCGUACCGCAAACCGACACAGGUAGUCAAGAUGAGAAUUCUAAGGUGAGCGAGCGAACUCUCGUUAAGGAACUCGGCAAAAUGACCCCGUAACUUCGGGAGAAGGGGUGCUCUUUAGGGUUAACGCCCAGAAGAGCCGCAGUGAAUAGGCCCAAGCGACUGUUUAUCAAAAACACAGGUCUCUGCUAAACCGUAAGGUGAUGUAUAGGGGCUGACGCCUGCCCGGUGCUGGAAGGUUAAGAGGAGUGGUUAGCUUCUGCGAAGCUACGAAUCGAAGCCCCAGUAAACGGCGGCCGUAACUAUAACGGUCCUAAGGUAGCGAAAUUCCUUGUCGGGUAAGUUCCGACCCGCACGAAAGGCGUAACGAUUUGGGCACUGUCUCAACGAGAGACUCGGUGAAAUCAUAGUACCUGUGAAGAUGCAGGUUACCCGCGACAGGACGGAAAGACCCCGUGGAGCUUUACUGUAGCCUGAUAUUGAAAUUCGGCACAGCUUGUACAGGAUAGGUAGGAGCCUUUGAAACGUGAGCGCUAGCUUACGUGGAGGCGCUGGUGGGAUACUACCCUAGCUGUGUUGGCUUUCUAACCCGCACCACUUAUCGUGGUGGGAGACAGUGUCAGGCGGGCAGUUUGACUGGGGCGGUCGCCUCCUAAAAGGUAACGGAGGCGCUCAAAGGUUCCCUCAGAAUGGUUGGAAAUCAUUCAUAGAGUGUAAAGGCAUAAGGGAGCUUGACUGCGAGACCUACAAGUCGAGCAGGGUCGAAAGACGGACUUAGUGAUCCGGUGGUUCCGCAUGGAAGGGCCAUCGCUCAACGGAUAAAAGCUACCCCGGGGAUAACAGGCUUAUCUCCCCCAAGAGUUCACAUCGACGGGGAGGUUUGGCACCUCGAUGUCGGCUCAUCGCAUCCUGGGGCUGUAGUCGGUCCCAAGGGUUGGGCUGUUCGCCCAUUAAAGCGGUACGCGAGCUGGGUUCAGAACGUCGUGAGACAGUUCGGUCCCUAUCCGUCGUGGGCGUAGGAAAUUUGAGAGGAGCUGUCCUUAGUACGAGAGGACCGGGAUGGACAUACCUCUGGUGUACCAGUUGUCGUGCCAACGGCAUAGCUGGGUAGCUAUGUGUGGACGGGAUAAGUGCUGAAAGCAUCUAAGCAUGAAGCCCCCCUCAAGAUGAGAUUUCCCAACUUCGGUUAUAAGAUCCCUCAAAGAUGAUGAGGUUAAUAGGUUCGAGGUGGAAGCAUGGUGACAUGUGGAGCUGACGAAUACUAAUCGAUCGAAGACUUAAUCAA
rnacentral:rRNA from 1 species